UACGGGGGGGGCAAGCGUUGUCCGGAAUCAUUGGGCGUAAAGAGCGUGUAGGCGGCUCGGUAAGUCCGCUCUGAAAGCCCGGGGGCUCAACCCCGGGAGGCGGGCGGAUACUGUCGGGCUAGAGUCCGGAAGAGGCGAGUGGAAUUCCUGGUGUAGCGGUGAAAUGCGCAGAUAUCGGGAAGAACACCCGUGGCGAAGGCGGUUCUCUGGGACGGUACUGACGCUGAGACGCGAAAGCGUGGGGAGCAAACAGG
rnacentral:rRNA from 1 species